UUUAUUGUAACAACUGUACAUUUACCAUGGUUCGCUUGGUUCGCAUUAAAGUAUUCUAUUUUAUUUAAAUAAGCGAUUUGAUCGAUUGUUGUUCCGGCUGUUUUUGGCCACGCAGUAAGAGUGUUGGCGUUCUUGUAUUCGCAUAAUGGCUGAUGUAGGUCUUCUUAUUGUUGUAGUAUUCAUAUUCAAUUUAUACAAGUAUAUUCUAUAUAAGCUAUUAUUCAAUUUAAACAAGUAAGUGGUGUAACUAUAUAAUGACUUUAUAAGUUUACAACAAAAAGUCUUAAAGUUAUUCAUGGAAUUUCAUUAUAUACUUACGCGAUAAAAUUAGUUGAUACACAGUCAUCUCAUCUUAAACUUAAUGGGUUUGGCACACAGGACACCCAGAGUCAGCUCAGCUUCAAAACAUGCGAAAAGGAUAACUAGUCAAUAGGCUUGUUUUAUACAAUCUAGGUUCCCAAGCCAAGUAUUCGAUUCCCCUAGACCAGAUUAAACCUAGAAGAAAUUAUGCCUUAGGCGUUGGGACUUUCUUGUCCGUUGAAAAAUCUACUCUUAAAAUCGAAUGAAGGACAAGGCCUGCUAAAUUUAUAUUCAGAACAAGGCAAAUUAUCAAAUAAUGGGCGAAGAAAAGUUUGCAAUAUAAUAAUAAAAGACCUAAUGCAAUCAGACCCAAAUAAAAGAAUAGACAGUUCUCUACUUCUUACAAAAGCACAAGAAAUAACUGAAGUAUUCAAAAAGGAAAAUAUAAGUACUUACUUUAUUCCAUACAUUAAUGAUACUAAACUUAAAAUAAAAAGAUGUGCAAAAGGCAAAUUAUAUGACUGUCUACAAAACAGGCGCCGCGAAUUAAGGGAGGCUAAGGUUAUUAAAAAGAAAAAUGGCAGCAACAUCAACAAUAACAGCAACGAGCCAGAAGUCGUCGAAGAAGAUGGUGGUGCAGAUGAAGAUAUCCAGUGGCUCCAAAACUGUACAGAACCCUGGCAUUUAGUGAUAGAGAAGUGGCAAAAAACUUCCAAAAAUAGAUUGAAGGAAAUAGAGACUUCAGAAAUGACCAUCGGAGCAUACAUUAAUAAAUAUCCAGUGUUAAAACGCCACGCGGGCAUGAGCUUCUUAUUGAAGAUUUAAGAAGGGCCCUAUUAGAGCCUGUUCACACUAGCAUUAAUAUCGCCGCGAGCACGCGGCGAGCAAGCUGCGAUAUCACACACAUAUAAAGUUUGCUCGCGGCGAUAUUAUUGCGAUAAAAUAAUCGCCGCGAUACCGCGACGACCCGCGGCGAGCUCGUUGCGUGCACGCCGCGAUCUCGCAUCGCCGAAAAGAAUCGCUAGUGUGAACAGGCUCUAAUAGGGCCCCAUACUUUACAAGUUGAAUGUAGAAAUGAUAAGUAUAAGGGACGUCGACGCUGAAAAGACGCCUGAACGGGUAGCAUGAUCGCGCGAAAAGUGAUAAAACAUCUCCCUAUCGCACUAUUAGUAAGUGCGAUAGGGACGGAUGUUUUAUCGCGCGAUCAUGCUACCAAUGCAGAUGUGAGGGGCCGUAAUGUGUAAGUGUAAUUUCUACGGACCAAUGAUUGUGAUGAUUAUAUUAAAAUAAAUGUCAUUUUUCUCUGUA